rnacentral:rRNA from 1 species
UACGUAGGGUGCGAGCGUUGUCCGGAAUUACUGGGCGUAAAGAGCUCGUAGGUGGUUUGUCGCGUUGUUCGUGAAAACCGGGGGCUUAACCCUCGGCGUGCGGGCGAUACGGGCAGACUUGAGUACUGCAGGGGAGACUGGAAUUCCUGGUGUAGCGGUGGAAUGCGCAGAUAUCAGGAGGAACACCGGUGGCGAAGGCGGGUCUCUGGGCAACAACUGACGCUGAGGAGCGAAAGCGUGGGGAGCGUACAGG